UACGUAGGGUGCGAGCGUUAAUCGGAAUUACUGGGCGUAAAGGGUGCGCAGGCGGUUCCGCAAGUCAGGCGUGAAAUCCCCGGGCUUAACCUGGGAAUGGCGCUUGAAACUACGGGACUCGAGUAUGGCAGAGGGAGGUGGAAUUCCACGUGUAGCGGUGAAAUGCGUAGAGAUGUGGAGGAACACCGAUGGCGAAGGCAGCCUCCUGGGCCAAUACUGACGCUCAUGCACGAAAGCGUGGGGAGCAAACAGGAUUAGAUACCCUGGUAGUCCACGCCCUAAACGAUGAUGACUAGUUGUUGGAGGAGUUAAAUCCUUUAGUAACGCAGCUAACGCGAGAAGUCAUCCGCCUGG
rnacentral:rRNA from 1 species